AGUGAACGCUGGCGGUAGGCCUAACACAUGCAAGUCGAACGGCAGCACAGUAAGAGCUUGCUCUUACGGGUGGCGAGUGGCGGACGGGUGAGGAAUACAUCGGAAUCUACUUUUUCGUGGGGGAUAACGUAGGGAAACUUACGCUAAUACCGCAUACGACCUACGGGUGAAAGCAGGGGAUCUUCGGACCUUGCGUGAUUGAAUGAGCCGAUGUCGGAUUAGCUAGUUGGCGGGGUAAAGGCCCACCAAGGCGACGAUCCGUAGCUGGUCUGAGAGGAUGAUCAGCCACACUGGAACUGAGACACGGUCCAGACUCCUACGGGAGGCAGCAGUGGGGAAUAUUGGACAAUGGGCGCAAGCCUGAUCCAGCCAUACCGCGUGGGUGAAGAAGGCCUUCGGGUUGUAAAGCCCUUUUGUUGGGAAAGAAAAGCAGCAGGUUAAUACCCCGCUGUUCUGACGGUGCCCAAAGAAUAAGCACCGGCUAACUUCGUG
rnacentral:rRNA from 1 species